rnacentral:rRNA from 1 species
AUGAAUCUCAUUUGAUCGUAGCAGAAAGGCCACUUUUCCACUUACAAUACCCCGUCACAUAUUUAAGUCGUCCACAAAGGAUUCUACCCGCCGCUUAAUGGAAAUUAUACUAAAAGGCGGCCACCGCGACUCUUUCGCCGUGGUGGCUUAGAAAACGACACAUGCCCUUGGGGACCGAGGCCCCUACAGUGGGUCGGUAAGCAAACAGCAGGCGCAUGCAUCAUUUCUAGCCCAGAUUCUAACUUAGAGGUAUUCAGUCAUAAUCCAGCACACGGUUGCUUUGCACCACGCGCUUUUCAACCAAGUGCGAUGACAAAUUGUGUGAAUCAACAUUUUAUCUUAUCCUAGGUUGAAUUACUACUGCGACACUGUCAUAACAGGGUAAAACUAACCUAUAUCACGACGGUCUAUACCCAGCUCACAUUCCCUAUUGGUGGGUGAACAGCCCAACACUUGGUGAAUUCUGCUUCACAAUGAUAGGAAGAGCCGACAUCAAAGGAAGAAAAAGCAACGUCGCUAUGAACGAUUGGCUGCCACAGGCCAAUUAUCCCUAUGGUAACACUUUUUUGAUGCCUCUAGCUUCGAAUUUCGAAGGUCUAAUGGAUCGUUAGGCCACGCUUUCAUGGUUCAUAAUCGUACUGGAAAUCAGAAUCAAAUGAGCUUUUACCCUUCUAUUCCAUACGAUAUUUCUGUUCUCGUUGAGAUCAUCUUAGGACACCUGUGUUAUCUUUUAACAGAUGUGUCGCCCCAGCUAAAAUCCCCACCUGACAAUGUCUUUUGCCUGGAUCGGCCCGCAGAGCGAGCCUUGGGUCCAAAAAGAGGGGCAGUGCCCCACUUUCGAUUCACGAAAUAAGUAAAAUAACGUUAAAAGUAGUGGUAUUUAACUUUCUCAUUUCGGCUCCCACUUAUACUACACCUCUCAGGUCAGUUCACAAAGUCGGAGUAGAGUCAAACUCAAGAGGGUCUUCUUUCCCCGUUAAUUCUACCAAGACCGUUCCCUUGGUUGUGGUUUCACUGGAUAGUAGAUAGGGGUAGUGGGAAUCUCAUUAAUCUACUCAUGCGCGUCACUCAUUACCACAUCAGGUCUCCAAGGGGAACAACCUCUGGUCGAUGGAAAAAUAUAUUCAAGGGAAGUCAGCAAAAUAGAUUCGUAACUUCUGGAAAAGGAUUGGCACUGAGGGCUGGGUAUGGGAGUCCCAGUCCCUAACCUGUCGGCUGUUGGUGGACUACUCGAGCUGCUCCUAUAGCGAGAGCGGGUCGCUGCGUAUCGGUUGGGUGACGGACUAGGAACGGUUCCUUCGAAGGCCUUCCCCGUGCGUCGAAUAGCCAACUCCGAACUGGAACAGACAAGGGGAAUCCAACUGUUUAAUUAAAACAAAGCAUUGCGAUAGUCCCAAUGGAUGUUCACGCAUUGUGAUUUCUGCCCAUUGCUCUGAAUGUCAAAGUGAAGAAAUUCAACCAAGCAUGGAUAAACGGCGGGAGUAACUAUGACUCUCUUAUGGUAGUCAAAUACCUCAUCAUCUAAUUAGUGACGCACAUGAAUGGAUUAAUGAGAUUCCCACUAUCCCUAUCUACUAUCCAACGAAACCACAACCAAGGGAAUGGGCUUGGCAGAAUCAGCGGGGAAAGAAGACCCUCUUAAGCUUGACUCUACUCCGACUUUAUGAAAUGACUUGAGAGGUGUAGUAUAAGUGGGAGUCGAAAGGCGAAAGUGAAAUACACUACUUUUAUUGUUAUUUACUUAUUUCGUGAAUCGGAAGUGGGGCAUUGCCCCUCUUUUUGGACCCAAGGCUCGCUCUGCGGGCUGAUCCGAGAUGAAGACAUUGUCAUGUAGGGAGUUUGGAUUGGGCGGCAUAUCUGAUAAAAGAUAAUGCAGGUGUCCUAUGAUAAGCUUAACGAGAACAGAAAUAUCGUGUGGAAUAGAAGGGUAAAAGCUUGUUUGAUUCUGAUUUCCAGUACGAAUACGAACCAUGAAAGCGUGGCCUAACGAUCCUUUAGACCUUUAAAAUUCGAAGCUAGAAGUGUCAGAAAAGUGUUACCACAGGGAUAACUGGCUUGUUGCAUCCAAGCGUUCAUAGCAACAUUGCUUUUUCAUCCUUCGAUAUCGGCUAUUCCUAUCAUUGUGAAGUAGAAUUCACCAAGUGUUGGACUGUUCACCCACAAAUAGGGAACGUGUCGUGAGACAGGUUAGUUUUACCCCACUUAUGACAGUGUCGCAGUAGUAAUUCAACCUAGCACGAGAGGAAACAUUGAUUCACAUAAUUUUUCAUCGCACUUGGUUGAAAAGCCAGUGGCGCAAAGCUACCGUGUGCUGGAUUAUGACUGAACGCCUCUAAGUCAGAAUCCAGGAUAGAAGCGACGCAUACACCCGCUGUCUACUUUCUGACCCGUAGUAGGGGUAUCGGCCCCCAAGGACAUGUAUCGUUUGCUAAGACACCGCGUAGGAAGAGUCGCAGUGGCCGCCUUGAAGUGUAAUUUCCAUCAAGCGGUGGGUAGAAUCAUUUGCGGAUGACUUAAAUAUACGAUGGGUUAUUGUAAGUGGAAGAGUGGCCUCGCUGCCACUAUCCACUGAGAUUCAUCCCUUUGUCGCUCUAAUUCAU